rnacentral:rRNA from 1 species
AACGAACGCUGGCGGCAUGCCUAACACAUGCAAGUCGAACGAUGCCUUCGGGCAUAGUGGCGCACGGGUGCGUAACGCGUGGGAAUCUGCCUUUCGGUUCGGAAUAACUCAGGGAAACUUGAGCUAAUACCGGAUAACGUCGCAAGACCAAAGAUUUAUCACCGAAAGAUGAGCCCGCGUAGGAUUAGCUAGUUGGUGAGGUAAAGGCUCACCAAGGCGACGAUCCUUAGCUGGUCUGAGAGGAUGAUCAGCCACACUGGGACUGAGACACGGCCCAGACUCCUACGGGAGGCAGCAGUGGGGAAUAUUGGACAAUGGGCGAAAGCCUGAUUCAGCAAUGCCGCGUGAGUGAUGAAGGCCUUAGGGUUGUAAAGCUCUUUUACCCGGGAAGAUAAUGACGGUACCGGGAGAAUAAGCCCCGGCUAACUCCGUG